GCAGACCCCGCCUCUCUUCCAGCAUCCUCCCACCUCAUGGCUCUGCCUGCACUCCCCGCUGAUCUGCAGGGUCACGGUGCUCCUGAAGCGAUGUGCCGGAGCCAGCUCACCACUUGCAUUUACUGCCUGCCCUAAGGUAUGCCUCUAAUAUUCCAUGAAAGAAUGGGAAAGAAACCACAAAGAUGACUGGAAUACACAGACCUAAAACACAUGGUUAUCCUCAUUAACACUGCAAUUAACCUGAGGGGAGUCCAGUCCUACUCUGCGGAAAGGCAAACACCUGUGGGAAGUUCUCUGUGAAGAGGGAACAUGGCUCAACCCUUUCUGUGCUGGCUCAGGGACUGCAACCCUAUCAAAUUCAACUGCAGUUUGAUUCAAACCCAUCUCCCUUGUAUACGGUGUCUGCAUGUCUGCAGCAGGGAAUCUGGCCAGCUCUCAGCAGCCGCCUUUCCUCUAAGAAUUGCAGACUGAAGCAAAUUCCCAGCUUAUUAAAAAAUAGUUUUGUUA